rnacentral:rRNA from 1 species
UUUCGACCUCAACUCAGUCGUGACUACCCGCUGAACUUAAGCAUAU